rnacentral:sRNA from 1 species
CAAACACUUUUCUUGUUUCAGAGCUGUACGUGAAUACUCAGGAUGUGCAUUAAUUCGUUGCAAUGGUGGUGAAAGUGUUAGAGUAUAUUACGUUCAGGCUCAAGAUAUCUGUGACAACGCUAACAUUGCUCAAGUGUCCUUAUUGAUACUUCUCAUAACUGCAGUGGCCAGAUUUCUGGUUUAGACAUCUUUCCUCUUGGAGCCAAUUUAAAAAAAUAGAAAUUAUUAAAUUAUUUGAAAUAAAAGAAAAGGCAAAAAAUGUUUUUCAAAUAACUAACAAAGAAAGGCAUAAUACAAUAAAGUAAAAGAGUUACAUACUAAUAAAGAAAUAUGAACAGAUGCAA